AUAAGGGGUCUCGAGUCGAUGCCAUAUAGCCCUCGCUUUCUACACCGUAAGGUAGUGUACCUAUUAGGGCUGGGCAAGACCGGUUCCAGCCGCCGCCGUAAUACCCGCAGCCCGAAUGAUGGCCGCUAUUAUUGGGCCUAAAGCGUCCGGGCCCGCCAGACAGGUACGUCUGGAAAUUCAGUGCCUCAAACACUUGGCAUCCCCGGAACCCAGCUGGCUUGGGGCCGGGAGAGCUGAUGGGUACGUCCGGGGUAGGAGUGAAAUCCCAUAAUCCUGGUCGGGAAGCCGGUGGCGUAAGCGCCUCAGGAUGACGGACCCGACGGUGAGGGACGAAAGCUAGGGUCUCGAACCCGAUUAGAUACCCGGGUAGUCCUAGCUGUAAACGAUCCCCGGUAGUAGGUGCGCUGGCUACGAGCCAGCGCUGUGCCGUAGGGAAGCCGAGAAGCGGGCCGCCUGGGAAGUACGUCCGCAAGGAUGAAACUUAAAGGAAUUGGCGGGAA
rnacentral:rRNA from 1 species